UUAACUUGUUAAAUCAUAAAAAAAUUCUUUCCAAAAAAGUAUACUGGAAACAUGUGGAUGCAGGGUUAUAAUUAAAAAGGAAAGCAAAACGGCCUUCCCACAAAGCAGAGAAACCCUCAACUCAAUGCUACAGCUGAGGCCAUGGGAGUAAAAAUGGGGGUAUGCUGAAAAGCCUUGAAAUGUGGACACUAUCACUGACCAUGUGG
rfam:Neotoma lepida isolate 417 scaffold_35253, whole genome shotgun sequence.